rnacentral:rRNA from 1 species
UGGGGAAUAUUGGACAAUGGGGGCAACCCUGAUCCAGCCAUGCCGCGUGUGUGAAGAAGGCCUUCGGGUUGUAAAGCACUUUCAGUGGUGAGGAAAGGCGAGCGGUGAAUACCCGCUUGCUGUGACGUUAGCCACAGAAGAAGCACCGGCUAACUCCGUGCCAGCAGCCGCGGUAAUACGGAGGGUGCGAGCGUUAAUCGGAAUAACUGGGCGUAAAGCGCGCGUAGGUGGUUGAGUCAGUCAGAUGUGAAAGCCCCGGGCUUAACCUGGGAACUGCACCUGAUACUGCUUGACUAGAGUACGGUAGAGGGCAGUGGAAUUUCCUGUGUAGCGGUGAAAUGCGUAGAUAUAGGAAGGAACACCAGUGGCGAAGGCGACUGCCUGGACUGAUACUGACACUGAGGUGCGAAAGCGUGGGUAGCAAACAGGAUUAGAUACCCCCGUAGUCC